rnacentral:rRNA from 1 species
UACGUAGGGGGCAAGCGUUGUCCGGAUUUAUUGGGCGUAAAGAGCGUGUAGGCGGCUUGGUAGGUCCGCUGUGAAAACUCGAGGCUCAACCUCGAGAUGUCGGCGGAAACCACUUGGCUAGAGUCCGGAAGAGGAGAGUGGAAUUCCUGGUGUAGCGGUGAAAUGCGCAGAUAUCAGGAAGAACACCCGUGGCUAAGGCGGCUCUCUAGUACGGUACUGACGCUGAGACGCGAAAGCGUGGGGAGCGAACGGG